rnacentral:lncRNA from 1 species
CGCCGGUACGUAAGUACGCAAAUUAUCGCACCCUGAAACCCAUCGUACAGUAGAGCAUUCACAAAUAAAGCAAUUUUUUCCAAAUUUAUAAGUUGUGGACUAUCAAAUCUCUUACCUUCUUAACAACAAUUUUAGUCACUCCGAAAUCGGUGACACCUUCAAGCACAUACAGAAAUGAGUUUUUGGCUUUAUCGAUAUUGUUUUGAGCUGUCUUGAACUGGGAGAGUUGUUUUUUUAGAUGGCUUUUAAUCUCUCUGCAACUGUACUCGUCAUCAACAAGCAAGUGAGCAAGACCAAAGCGUUUC